GCGAGGCCGAAAGGCGUAGUCGAUGGGAAACGGGUUAAUAUUCCCGUACUUCUUACAAUUGCGAUGGGGGGACGGAGAAGGCUAGGUGGGCCUGGCGACGGUUGUCCAGGUUCAAGUGCGUAGGCUUAAGAGUUAGGUAAAUCCGGCUCUUUCUAAGGCUGAGACACGACGUCGAGCACCUACGGGUGUGAAGUCAUUGAUGCCAUGCUUCCAGGAAAAGCCUCUAAGCUUCAGAUUGUAAGGAAUCGUACCCCAAACGACACAGGUGGUCGGGUAGAGAAUACCAAGGCGCUUGAGAGAACUCGGGUGAAGGAACUAGGCAAAAUGGUACCGUAACUUCGGGAGAAGGUACGCUCU
rnacentral:rRNA from 1 species